UGGGCAACCUGCCCCCGACCCUGGGAUAACCCCGGGAAACCGGAGCUAAUACCGGAUACUCUCCUCCGACCACAUGGUCAGAAGAGGAAAGGUCCGCCGGUCGGGGAUGGGCCCGCGGCCUAUCAGCUUGUUGGUGGGGUAACGGCCUACCAAGGCAUCGACGGGUAGCUGGUCUGAGAGGACGACCAGCCACACUGGGACUGAGACACGGCCCAGACUCCUACGGGAGGCA
rnacentral:rRNA from 1 species